rnacentral:rRNA from 1 species
GCUUAUGCGUUGUUGGGUAGGGGAGCGUUCUGUAAGCCUGUGAAGGUGUGUCGUGAGGCAUGCUGGAGGUAUCAGAAGUGCGAAUGCUGACAUAAGUAACGAUAAAGCGGGUGAAAAGCCCGCUCGCCGGAAGACCAAGGGUUCCUGUCCAACGUUAAUCGGGGCAGGGUGAGUCGACCCCUAAGGCGAGGCCGAAAGGCGUAGUCGAUGGGAAACGGGUUAAUAUUCCCGUACUUGGUGUUACUGCGAAGGGGGGACGGAGAAGGCUAUGUUGGCCGGGCGACGGUUGUCCCGGUUUAAGCGUGUAGGUGUGUGUUCCAGGUAAAUCCGGUUCACUUUAACACUGAGGCGUGAUGACGAGGCACUACGGUGCUGAAGUAACAAAUGCCCUGCUUCCAGGAAAAGCCUCUAAGCAUCAGGUAACAUCAAAUCGUACCCCAAACCGACACAGGUGGUCAGGUAGAGAAUACCAAGGCGCUUGAGAGAACUCGGGUGAAGGAACUAGGCAAAAUGGUGCCGUAACUUCGGGAGAAGGCACGCUGACACGUAGGUGAAGUGAUUUACUCACGGAGCUGAAGUCAGUCGAAGAUACCAGCUGGCUGCAACUGUUUAUUAAAAACACAGCACUGUGCAAACACGAAAGUGGACGUAUACGGUGUGACGCCUGCCCGGUGCCGGAAGGUUAAUUGAUGGGGUCAGCGCAAGCGAAGCUCCUGAUCGAAGCCCCGGUAAACGGCGGCCGUAACUAUAACGGUCCUAAGGUAGCGAAAUUCCUUGUCGGGUAAGUUCCGACCUGCACGAAUGGCGUAAUGAUGGCCAGGCUGUCUCCACCCGAGACUCAGUGAAAUUGAACUCGCUGUGAAGAUGCAGUGUACCCGCGGCAAGACGGAAAGACCCCGUGAACCUUUACUAUAGCUUGACACUGAACAUUGAGCCUUGAUGUGUAGGAUAGGUGGGAGGCUUUGAAGUGUGGACGCCAGUCUGCAUGGAGCCGACCUUGAAAUACCACCCUUUAAUGUUUGAUGUUCUAACGUGGACCCGUUACCCGGGUUGCGGACAGUGUCUGGUGGGUAGUUUGACUGGGGCGGUCUCCUCCUAAAGAGUAACGGAGGAGCACGAAGGUUGGCUAAUCCUGGUCGGACAUCAGGAGGUUAGUGCAAUGGCAUAAGCCAGCUUGACUGCGAGCGUGACGGCGCGAGCAGGUGCGAAAGCAGGUCAUAGUGAUCCGGUGGUUCUGAAUGGAAGGGCCAUCGCUCAACGGAUAAAAGGUACUCCGGGGAUAACAGGCUGAUACCGCCCAAGAGUUCAUAUCGACGGCGGUGUUUGGCACCUCGAUGUCGGCUCAUCACAUCCUGGGGCUGAAGUAGGUCCCAAGGGUAUGGCUGUUCGCCAUUUAAAGUGGUACGCGAGCUGGGUUUAGAACGUCGUGAGACAGUUCGGUCCCUAUCUGCCGUGGGCGCUGGAGAACUGAGGGGGGCUGCUCCUAGUACGAGAGGACCGGAGUGGACGCAUCACUGGUGUUCGGGUUGUCAUGCCAAUGGCACUGCCCGGUAGCUAAAUGCGGAAGAGAUAAGUGCUGAAAGCAUCUAAGCACGAAACUUGCCCCGA